CGGCUCAUGUACUCCACUUGCACGCCCCACGUCAACCAAAGAGAAAAAAAACCCUACCCAAGAAUAAAUUGGAGAAACUGCCAAGCAUCCCAUCCUCACACAGUCCCAUCUGCAAGUUCUUGGCGUAAAUCCCUCUUCUUCCUCUCACGUCUUGAUCUUUUAGGCAGCCAUUCCAACAUCAACCAACACUCGAUCCAUCCAUUCGUUUUGCUGAAAAAUUAGAUCAGGCAUGGAAAGCAUAGCCCUCGGUUGUGCAGCAGCACGGAGCGACGGCGGCGGUGGCUCCGAUAAGCACAGUGCUGCUGGCGACAGAACCCCGAUGGCCAACGGCGACAGCGAUGGCUCGCAGGUGCGCACUGCCGAUGGCUACAAAAUCCCAUCGGCGGCGGCGCCGGCGGCGGCAGUGGCGCUUGAUGUGUGGUGUUGCAGAGGUGCAGUAGUGGUUGUGGCGUAGCAGAUAUGAUGUUUAUUCUUCAAAAGAACAGGAUUGAUGAAAUGGGAAAUUGUGAUUAAUGGAGAUCAUCUAGGAAUAAUGACUCCGUGAUAUCAAGCUAGUGCCUUUUUUCCUUGUUUUCUUAUUAUUCACUCUUUGAUACUUGAGAGUUUGAGAGGCACUUAUACUAUUUAGGCCCCCUUUAUCCUAAUCCUGGAUCCGCCGCUGAUUUUAGCCAAUAUCCAAAUAAGGCUAAAAUAAACAAAACAUCACAACACCAAACCAAAAAUUCCUUAGGGGCCAGGAUUUCCUUGAGUGCCAAAAUCAGUGAACCUACAAGGUAAUUUGUGUCCUUUGCCGGUUCCAUUCAGCCUCCAAGCAAAUAUGCAACUUCCUUGAGUGUUAUUGUGAACCACCAAGUCAUUUUCUUGUGUGCUAUUGCAAAUUUUCGAGGAAAUCAUUUAAAAUUCAAUACUUUAUGAAUUUUAAAUGACCUUGGAUGGAGAAAAGACCUAAAUCAAAGUUGUAGUAGUCAAAAAGAUCUUAAACUUUUCAGUUCAAAUGUUUUUCAUUUGAAAUGGUUUAGGGUGUUUAAUAUGCAUUACAAAAUUCAUUAGACUAAAUAGAAAAGAAAGUCACAAAACCUAGACUGAAUACAAAAGAUAUGCAUAUCCGCAAUUUAUUCACAAAUGACUGCAAGAAUUGUGUCAUGCAAUGCUAUUGCCAAUGCAGUGGCUCCUAUUCAGUGGAAAGAGGAAUGGGGUUCUCCAGCUGGGUGCAGUACACUCCCGAUCAAGUACGGAAACAGACCAUGGACAUGGUGCUUUGCCAGCAGCAACACAGCAAGCUAGCUGACUAGGGUAAUGGCAGCGGCCGGGACAUGGCAGAUCAAUGUGACAAGGGGUUCAGUGCAGUUCCCUGUGACGUCAUCUAGUUGGUUUAACAAGAAUGUUCAGACCAUGCUGCUGCAGCAAAUCCCGUUGUAGCGAUAGAUUAUGUUAGCUAAUGAUGUUUAACAAGCUGCAAUCCUGCAUGAAGAUUACCACAGGGAGAUCGCUAUCCGGUCAUGGAGUGAGGCUUUUUUUGUCGUUUUAAAAUUUGAAUUCAUGGACAAAGAUGGGUACAACAAAUUCAGGCAUUGUGAACACAAAAACGGUUCUAUAA